rnacentral:lncRNA from 1 species
CAGCCAGAAAGACAGGGAGGAGCUCCAGGGCAGGGGGUUUGGUAGAAUCUGGAGACUCAAGUCCAACAGCGACCACAGAGCCCUCUCAGAGACCAGCAAGUCCGAACUAAAUCCAGAGCCGAGCGAAGGGAGCAGCUCACCCUGGUGCCUAGCACCACCUCAGUCCUCUGUCUCUGCUGAGGAUUUUCUCGGGACCUGCUUCUCUUGUGUCCAGGAUGGCCAAGGUGCUUCGGCACUUCUGGAACAGGAUUCUCGAUAUUCAGCUGGGCACCUCAUCGUCCAGGAUAAAGACCACGCCUCCCGGGCUGGGUGUGAGUCUGUGACUACUCUCCCACCGAUGGGAUAUACACAGAAGUGACAGCUCCAGCUCCCGGGUCACACACUGAAGGAGGCAUCCCCCCAUCUCUACCACAUGUUUGCAAUGUGGGGAAUUGUGAGCCUUCUUGGGCCAAGCAUGUGGGCCAACACCCUUAGGAUGAGGAGUCCUGAGAGAGAAGGUGCUCGAGCCUCCGGUGACCUCCCGGGGCUCAGCCACCUGCCUCCAGAUGGUCACUUCUGAGAAAAUUAACUUCUGAUCUGUAGAAGACCCAUGGAAGUCUGGAGUCUCC